GAGUGCGCAGGCGGUUUUGCAAGACCGAUGUGAAAUCCCCGGGCUUAACCUGGGAACUGCAUUGGUGACUGCAAGGCUAGAGUGUGUCAGAGGGAGGUGGAAUUCCGCAUGUAGCAGUGAAAUGCGUAGAUAUGCGGAGGAACACCGAUGGCGAAGGCAGCCUCCUGGGAUAACACUGACGCUCAUGCACGAAAGCGUGGGGAGCAAACAGGAUUAGAUACCCUGGUAGUCCACGCCCUAAACGAUGUCUACUAGUUGUCGGGGAUUAAUUUCCUUGGUAACGCAGCUAACGCGUGAAGUAGACCGCCUGGGGAGUACGGUCGCAAGAUUAAAACUCAAAGGAAUUGACGGGGACCCGCACAAGCGGUGGAUGAUGUGGAUUAAUUCGAUGCAACGCGAAAAACCUUACCUACGCUUGACAUGUCCGGAACCCUGAAGAGAUUUGGGGGUGCUCGAAAGAGAGCCGGAACACAGGUGCUGCAUGGCUGUCGUCAGCUCGUGUCGUGAG
rnacentral:rRNA from 1 species